GACGAACGCUGGCGGCGUGCUUAACACAUGCAAGUCGAACGGGAUUUCGUAAACAGAAGCCUCGGUGGAAGAUUACUAAUGAGAGUGGCGAACGGGUGAGUAACGCGUGUGCAACCUGCCUAUGACAGUGGGAUAGCCUCGGGAAACCGGGAUUAAUACCGCAUAAAAUCGUAGAAACACAUGUUUUAACGGUCAAAGAUUUAUCGGUCAUGGAUGGGCUCGCGUCUGAUUAGCUAGUUGGUGAGAUAACAGCCCACCAAGGCGACGAUCAGUAGCCGGUCUGAGAGGAUGAACGGCCACAUUGGAGCUGAGACACGGUCCAAACUCCUACGGGAGGCAGCAGUGGGGAAUAUUGCACAAUGGGGGAAACCCUGAUGCAGCGACGCCGCGUAAACGAAGAAGGUAUUCGUAACGUAAAGUUCUGUCCUAUGGGGAGAUAAUGACAGUACCAUAGAAGAAAGCACCGGCUAAAUACGUG
rnacentral:rRNA from 1 species